rnacentral:tRNA from 1 species
GCCUGGGUGGCUUAGUUUGUUGAGUGUCUGACUUCGGCUCAGGUCACGAUCUCACAGUCUGUGGGUUCGAGCCCCACAUCAGGCU